ACCCCAUCCCCGGCUAUGGGGGUCGGCGCGCAUGCGCGGCCCUCGGCUCGGCCUGGGCGCACCUUUUCUCCCUCCUGCCACAAUGUGAGCGCUCAGCCGAGCAGAUAACCGCCGGCUGCCUGCUCCACCCCCGGCCCUUGCCCACUCCGCCCACUCCCGAGCGCCCAGAGGAUGCUGACUGCAGGGAUGGAGGAACUUUUUCCACUGCAGAAGAACAAUGUGGUGCCUAUGGGAACAUGCCAUGUGACCAUUCUCCAUUCCUCCCAGCAAGGCACGCUGGGUGAUGUGAAGAACCCAGGAAGGAAAGCUGGAGGAGAGCAUGGUGGGUGGCAGAGCGGGAUUUGGGGAAGCCCUGAGCCCUGCUCCAUCUGACCCUCAGUACAUCUGUCUCCGUCACUGUCUACCUGCCCUGCUCACGCGUGCCCCUCACUCACCCCACGGCAACAGGCCUAUCUUUCCCCCAACAUCAAAAGAGCUAUUUCAGCGACUGUCGCUGUACCUGGCCCAUAGCCUCUAGUCUAUAUAUGUCUGUCAAAUGAAUUGGCUAUAAACAUGAAAAGGUUUCUCCUGAAAAGGUUCAUGCUGUUGUUCAGAUGUUGGCAGUGACAUUCCUGAGAUUUGUGUGCUGAGGAUGGGAAGGGACACUACUGGGGACAGGAAGGGAUGCUUUUGGGGAUGAGGAGAGACACUAUUGGGCAAUCAGAAUAAAAACUUGUGGUAGGGCCCUGAAAA
rnacentral:lncRNA from 1 species